UGGCGUCUGUGUAGGUGCCCACCCGUCACUCCGAGUAUGGAAGACUCUCUGGUGGCGUCUGUGUAGGUGCCCACCCGUCACUCCGAGUAUGGAAGACUCUCUGGUGGCGUCUGUGUAGGUGCCCACCAGUCACUCCGAGUAUGGAAGACUCUCUGGUGGCGUCUGUGUAGGUGCCCACCAGUCACUCCGAGUAUGGAUGACUCUGGUGGCGUCUGUGUAGGUGCCCACCAGUCACUCCGAGUAUGGAAGACUCUCUGGUGGCGUCUGUGUAGGUGCAUACCAGUCACUCCGAGUAUGGAAGACUCUCUGGUGGCGUCUGUGUAGGUGCCCACCAGUCACUCCGAGUAUGGAUGACUCUGGUGGCGUCUGUGUAGGUGCCCACCCGUCACUCCGAGUAUGGAUGGCUCUGGUGGCGUCUGUGUAGGUGCCCACCAGUCACUCCGAGUAUGGAAGACUCUCUGGUGGCGACUGUGUAGGUGCCCACCCGUCACUCCGAGUAUGGAUGACUCUGGUGGCGUCUGUGUAGGUGCCCACCAGUCACUCCGAGUAUGGAAGACUCUCUGGUGGCGUCUGUGUAGGUGCCCACCAGUCACUCCGAGUAUGGAUGACUCUCUGGUGGCGUCUGUGUAGGUGCCCACCAGUCACUCCGAGUAUUGAUGACUCUCUGGUGGCGUCUGUGUAGGUGCCCACCCGUCACUCCGAGUAUGGAAGACUCUCUGGUGGCGUCUGUGUAGGUGCCCACCCGUCACUGAGUGAAGCUUGUAAGUUGAUAAAAACAGACAUUGAUAAUUUCGUGUGUCUGAAUUUCACAAAAGAUAUAUUCUCCUCUGAUAGAAAUAUUAAUCUACUAUGUACAAACAUACCACCAACGGGUUCGUCCUAUUAUAAUCACACUAAGUCAAAAUGUAACCUUGAUCAAGUUGAUAACUUUUUAUCGUCUAUUCUGGCGCAAUUAAGCGAUUCGCAUACAUUGUUGUGUGGUGACAUGAACGCUCGAACAGGUGAGAGCAAUAACCCACAGGUUCCUGUUAAUGAUGAUAGAAAUAUCAACAUUGGUGUAUUUGAAGAUGAUGAUGAUAUCACAGUUAAUAAUCGAAAGUCACAUGAUACUGUCAUUAAUAAGUUCGGACAAAACUAUUUAUUGUUAAUGGCAGAGUGUUCGGAAACGAACGAGGUGAAUUUACUUUCAUGGGACAACAAGGCAAUAGUGUUAAUGACUAUUUCAUCUCUUCCCCCUGACUUUUUUCAAUAUAUCAGCAAGCUGAAUAUAGGUGAUCAAUUAGAAUCUGAUCAUUUGCCACUGGAACUAACCUGUAAAUUUCCUACCCUGAAAACGUCGAAUCUUAAUACAUCGUCGGAAGGUUUACUUGAUA